GACAGAGGGUGCAAACGUUGUUCGGAAUCACUGGGCGUAAAGCGCGUGUAGGCGGCCUGUUAAGUCUGAUGUGAAAGCCCGGGGCUCACCCCCGGAAGUGCAUUGGAAACUGCCAGGCUCGAGUCCCGGAGAGGAGGGUGGAAUUCCUGGUGUAGCGGUGAAAUGCGUAGAUAUCAGGAGGAACACCGGUGGCGAAGGCGGCCCUCUGGACGGUGACUGACGCUGAGACGCGAAAGCGUGGGGAGCAAACAGG
rnacentral:rRNA from 1 species